ACCACCAAACACUGUUUUUCUUCUUAACUAGUUAAGUGAGUGAACCAGUUUUUUUGUAACACGUUUACAACGUAGCCUAACAGACUUUCACGUGAUCACAACAUCAUGUGUAUUCAUUUAACGAUGACGAUCCGCGCCUUGCGGUUUGGCUUUAGUUAGUACUCAAGCUAACGUUACUACCUUGUAAGCAGGUGCACAGCUUUAAAUCAUGGGUUGGUUUGUGUUAGGCUCACUUAAGAAUACCAAAAAUCUGGAGACCCAGUUUCCUGCUUUAUAUACAGAUUUUGUUACCACACAAUGAGCUGAACUCGACACCUCCGUUUUGUUCUUUUGGAUGAGAUACAGCACUUUUGGUACCCUCAAUUUGAUAGUACUUCCAUGUAGUUGUGUUGUGUUUAAUGUAUGUACAGACUUCAACGUAGGUUUUAUUAGAUAGGCGUUCUACUAUGGCAGUUUUAUGUCGUAUAAACUAAACUCAGAGACAGAAAUAACAGAUCUGUUUGAGUGAAUAUGGAUUAUAUUAUGAUACUAGGUUGAGGAAGCUGCGAGCAGCGAGGGUUAAACUACUGUUAGCAGGACUGCUGGACUGGAUCCAUAUCAUACACUUUAAAUGUGGACCGAUGCACAUUAUGUGGGCUACCUCACAGUCAAACCCAGUUAAAUGAAUUCAGAUUUUAGGCUACAAUAUACGCAUGUGUGGCCCCUGUGCACCUUAGAGCUUCCUGUGUCUAUUCAUAUAGCAUCACAAUCACUGGAAGAACAGUUUGCUAGUCCGCUACACAGCAAGGUCAUUGCUGAAAAUGUGUCUCACAUAUUCUCCGCCAGACACAGCGAGGCACAGAAGCAGCUCAUCCACACCACGCGGCCUAUAAACCCCUCAGAUAUAUCAUUUUCUUCAAAUGCACCUUUUCAGACUAGUGUGUCCGUAUCCUCGGUGGCCUUUUUCAAUUGUCAGCUGCCGACUCAUCCUGUCGCUUCCCGUCUUUCACAAAUCACACAGCGGCGGGGCCUCGCUCAGAGAGGCACAAUUUGUCAGCCGCAUGCAUGAGUAAGCAACAGAUUCACCAUCCAUUACACUGACCGGGUGGGGAGGAGCGUGUCUCCACGCGUCCUACGUCCUUGUGUGAGACGCUUUUCAAUUUCAGACCUUCACAGGGAAGACGUCUUUGUUGCGAGACGCUUUUGCUUUUUGUGGUUCGGCCCAGCUGCCCGCAGUAAAUGAAGCUCCCCACUGCCAGGGGGGGCUGUGGGAUUGGCGCCGCGGUUCCACCCAGAACUGCGGUGACAAUCCGGCUGGCAUCACGCAGUCGUCCAGAUCCACUUCCUGUAGAAGAUGCUGUCUGAACCUACGGCUGCUUUUUUGUACAAAAACACGACAUCGUUCGGGGGUCCGACGUGGGUGGGACAACAGGCACAGGUCGCUAUGUCUUCCAUGGUUCCUGCGGAGGAAGAACAAUGACGGAAGGUUGAGCAGUGUUUUAGGGGGAUAAGCUACGUCCGCUCUCUGUUCGCGUUGUGUGCGUGAAAUGACGCAUUAAAUGCAAAUUGACCAGAAAUGAAUUCUUACAGUCUGGUAAAUUACUCUGCAUCAAUUUAUGGUGCAAUGUAUGGCUUAUUUUUUGAGUAAAGCAAUAAAUCCGGCGCUCAAAUGACAAUUAAUUUCUUAUGUACAGUAUCUAUCCAGUAAAUAAGACGCAGCUGAGCUAAAACAGCUAAUAAAAAACGGACAGUGUUAAAAAAAGAGAGAUGAAGGAGGUCACGACUUUUCUCUUUCCUCACAUUCCUCAAAGCGGUCUGCAUACAUAUGUGGCUUCCAUGCGUAUGUAUGAGACAGCGUUUGUGUGGACGCAAACAGGACUUCUGUGUGUGCGCCACACUGUUUCUGCUUCACACGCUUGUAUAUGGAUGUGCGUAUUGGUGGGAGUGGGUGUUUGUGUUGAAUCUCCAUAUGAAGGUGGUUUGACGCCGCGCAUUUCAGACCCCAAAUGGAGACACUUGGCGUGUUUUUGCUGGAGCAACGUUGUGUGUGUGUGUGUGUGUGUGUGUGUGUGUUUAGUGAAGGAGAGCCUCUCUCUGCUUGUAAAGAUCAUAUCUGAGCUCCACAAAGACAUCACUUGGUUUACAAUGUUGUGGGCCUGUGAUUAAAUUCCCCUUCAUUAUUCAAUUCAUAUAUAUAUAUAUAUAUAUAUAUAUAUAUGUAUGUAUGCCUCUUGUCCUGUUGGUCUUGAAUACAGAAAUACUGAAAGCAGGUGUUGAGUUUGUGGGUUGCAGUCCCGUUGCUUCCCAGAACCGUUGAGCAAAGCUUGGACCCCGGGGUGAGACACAGGGCCAACAGCCCCAAAUCGUUCCUGUCAGGCGUUCAGUAGAGUGUGUCCCACUGCACUGGUCCGGACCACCAGAGUCCUGUAGGGCGGCACUUUGUGCUUUUGAAACGACCCGUUGAUGUAAAAUAGGACGCUUUGGUUUCUCUUCCCCGGGACGGUCGGCUGCUAUUAUUGAACUAGCACAGUGGUUCUGAAACUUUUGACCACCGGCCAUCUCCCCUCGCUGGGAGAAACAUUCUCAUGGCAACCAGAUGAGAAGUUACUAUAAUACUAUAGAGUAGAAUAAUACUCAGCUGAGAUAAAGGAAACUGCACUGAAGCACAUUUCAUGCAACAUAACAGCACUGUCGUCUAUUCAUAAACGCUACAAAUAUACGCUCAAAGACCAUGCAGACACCUACACACUUUCUCUGUGUCCGUACACACACACACACACACGCACACACACACACACGCCUCUGGUGUGAAUGGCCCUUGGCCACAGGCAGAGUUUUCAUAGUAAACUAACCUUGAUCAAUAACCUGCUAUGGACCUCAGCGAAACCCACUGUUCUCCCUACUGCCGGAUUUCAAUAUCACGCCUGUUUGAACACUGUAGCCACAGGCCAGCCAUAUGCAUGCUGCUGUGUGUGUGUGUGUGUGUGUGUGUGUGUGUGUGUGCACAAAAACCACCGCUGCCGCUGCAUGAAUUUACGUGAGCAUGUGCGAACGUGUUUGCGGCCUGAUGUAUGUGCUUGUGUGUGUGUGUACUCAAAGAAAAUCUCAUGUGCAUGGAUUCCAGUGUGUGUGUGUGUGUGUGUAAUAGUGCAGCCUCGGGGGCCGCUGUGAAUGGUGCUAACCGGCCCUCUGAACUCCUCCCUGUGAAGGGAGAGAGAAGAGCCACCGGGCAUGAGCAGAGGACAGCGUGCCAUUUACCUGGGCUACGGAUGCUUUUUAAAACUGGCAAGAGGGACUUCUCACGCACACAUGCAUGUACGCACACACACGCAUGCACACACACACACGCAUGCACACCCCUCCCCCACACUCACAUGCCGGAGAUACUCCUGCCUUAACGCCUCAAACGCCAAAGCACACCUUUGCUCCCUCGCCUCAAACGCAAGCACACUUCAAAAGUUCUUUUUAUUUUUUAUUUUUGGAAGCGAUACAGGCAGAACUACCCGUGCGUUUAAAGAGCCUAACCGCUCUCUUCAUGUGCCCUUUUCCUGCUUCCUGCCUCGGCAAAAAGCCAUUCAAAAGUAAAAAACAAUCCAGCGCUACAAGUAGCAAGACCACCCCUUUGGCUCCCCGAGGCGCUUGCGCUGCCUUUAUACCUGGUAGAGGUCAAAGGGCACUCUUAGGAUUGUCCCAAACUGAGGGAAAUGAGAAAUGGCUAAGGGAAGGUGUCUCGUUGCUCCCUUUCUUAGUUCCUUUAGCAAAGGAAACACUCAACCUACCUUUACCAAAGGAAAGAAGACCAUGCCGCCCCACAAUUCAUUUUAAAUGUCGCACCAUUUGGCCGUCCAUGAAACAAACAAUGCGCUUAUCUUACAGAGGCUUAACAAUUGCCUUAAACUAAACUUUCAUUUUAUGAUCUAUUUUGAGCAUUUAACAAAUACAAAUUUGUAUUGUAUGAAAGUGAAUAUAACUUCAUUAAUUAACAAAUGAUCGUUCCCAAUAACAAGAAUCAUCUGUUAAGCUGAAUGUAACAGAUCUACAUUGUUCCUCACAGGAAACGUUGAUAACGCACAGCUUCAUGAGGUUGAUGGAGUCGAGUGUCCACAGCGUUAAAUGUGACAGCUGCAGAGCGGACGGAGCGUCCUGCAGCUGCACACAUCUCAUGGGCAGUUGAAGCAAAGUGGGAUUCUUCGAGCUCCACGGUUAUUUUUUCCCAACUCCUCGUGAGUUCCCCGACCUCAUGUCGUUUUGCGUGGAAGGACGCCGCAGCCAACCAGUCGGAUCAACAAUGACGCAGCUUAUUGUGUCAUUGUUGCCAUAAGUUUCAAAAUGCUUCAGUUAUGGCGAAACAGUUGCAUUGUUUUUGCAUUUUGAUCUGUCUUAAUCUACCUGGGUAGACAUGUGUGUGUCUGUGAGCUGGGAGUUGAAUGCAGCUGAGCCAGAUGUGUGAAGUGGGUCAUGGGAACCACCUCCCAAACACUGGGGUUAUGGGGAGACGGGUGUUGUGUGGUGUGUGCGGUCACUGGGGCAGUGCCCUGAUUAUACUCAGACUCACAAUAUCAUGGUUUGUUGUGUUUUAGCGGUUGUGUGUUUCCCUAAUUUCCUCGGUAUAGAAGGAAUGAAUCAGGACAGAUAAUCAAUACGAGCCCCCCCCCUGUGAACCUUUAGUCCAGAUAACUUAGAUAUUAGAAGAAAGUGCUGUGUGUUUGUAAUGCAAUGCUUUUAAUGACAAAGAUUCAAUAUGUAUCAAAUAUAUUUCAUGAACAAAUCUUAUUUUGAGGCUUUUUCAUGUCCAUAAGACAUAAGGUCCAUGUCUAAACUAUUCAGGUUUGCAGCACUUCACUCACAAGAUUAGGAAAAACAACAGUAUUUGUUCAAGUCCCAUGCAGAUUAUAUGUGAAUACAUUGUGAUAAUCAUAAUCAGGUAUUCUCAAGUGCACUAGAAAAUACUUAAAAAGCUUAAAAGAAGCAGCGAUGACGUGUUACUGUCCUUUAGAAGUCUAAAAAACGUUCCUGGUUCCUGAUUAAUGGGAGGGAACCUGGUCAGGGCUCCACCCCUUUAACUUGUUGAAGUGUUACUAUCCAACAGGAUAAAAAGGAUCUCCACUCAGUCCGCGCUGGCAUGGAAGUCCUCUCCUGGCUUUGAUCCGGUGACCCGAUCAGGGGCGGCUCCUCUUGUCUCUUUCUGGAGAGCCUGGGCGGGGCGGCUGGGGAGGAGAGAUGGCGGCCGACUGGAGGAGUGCCACCCGCUCCCAACCGGGUAGGAACCGGUGCCAACUCCGCCUCCAUCUUCCUCUGUCCGUUCCCUCCCAGGCAGCGUCCGUCACGCUGGAUGACAUUGAAACGUACUUUUCUGCAGUUAGGACUCAGCAGUCCAGGGGGGAUACAGUCAGUCGAUGGGCCUUAAUGCCUCAACGUGUGGCCUCCCGCUCGUAGCUGUUUAUUAACCUUAUUUCAGCAAAUCCCAGUGAAUGUUUGCCAAUGAAGCGCUUCAGAGAAAGAGCUGCUUGAAUAAAGCUUGGAGUCUCUACUAGUGUUCGGUCUUUGGAAAUGGAAAUUGUUGAGUAUUUUUUAAAUGUGUUUAUUCUCAUGUGAAUUGUCUUAAUAUGUUUAAUUCCAUCCACAUUUUACUUCAUUGCUUGAUCUUGAAAAAAAAAUCCUGCCUUCUCUCCAAGGCCUGGCAAAUAAAAUCUGCUACAAAUGUAUUUUGUAAGUUUUUCAUAACGAAGGAAACAAUAUCACUCAUUUUGAGAUCUGCUGCCACAAGUCAACCUGCUUUCCUUACCGGACCCCAGCAGCAGCAUCCGGAGUAAAGGUUCUGUGCUUGACUCUUCACAGCAGCACACACACUCCGCCCUGCUCUCUGACUGUGUAUGGAUGCCGAUGGGUUCCAUUGAGUUGGUUGAAAGCUUGGUGAGUCUCAUACGGAUGAUAAAUGGUGCCUUGGGCAUCAGUGUCAUGCGAGAGGGGAGUCGGCUUGGUUUUUGAGUCAAUGCAUUUUGGGGUUCUUUGCCUGCGUGACGAUACUUCCUGAAUAACCUGUUUUUGUGCCAAAGGGGAGCAGGACUCUGCUGCUGGUUGGAGGGGUUCGAUUGUUUCCAUGGACUCACUGGGCGUAUAGCGGCGCAUCGCUUGAUGUUGCUACUCGCAUGCUGUCUACGUGCAGCAGCACUGCCAAAGGACAGUGGCUGGAACUGGCUCUGAGACAGAUUGAGAACAUCAGGUGUUUCAAUUCAACUGUUGUCAGCCUGUUAAACACGGCGCCUCGGCCAAACUGGCCCUCGGCUACCCGCUCUAAUGUUUGUACGUGUGAGCAGGAGCCAAGCGCAUCCCCUCAGCGCUCAGGGUCAAAAGCUACGAACCCGGCGUGGGCAUGUGCCAGAGACACGGCGGGCCUGCCAACUGCUACAAGCCUGUGGCCAGACGGCCGGCGCACAGGGUCAGGAGCAGCCAAGUGGCGUCCGGUGAGGGAUACCCUGGUUCAGUGUUGGCCAAACAACGCCCCCGGGCUGGCUGGACCGACUCGACACGACUGCUGUGUGUGUAGACAGAGCGGGAACAGAACGCUGUGGGCCGUCCUCUGUGGACUCGCUUCACUGGCCAGAGUGUGCGAUGAGACCUUUUCCCUCAAUAUUCCAGUUGAAAACGUACUCAACGCUGUUUUUACCUCAACCUUCACUUAAUGUGUGUCACUUUCUGUGUGUACGUCUAUUCAACUUAGUUCACAAGUUUUACUCGGCUCAAUUUUCAGCAAUUUAAAUGACUUAAUCCUAAAAACUGUGACUUGUGAAACUGGUGUGACGCAACCCACGAGAAAGAUGACGCACCGCUCUGUUGGAAGUAAUGACACGUGUGUGUGAGAGAGAGAGACACAGAAAAACCUUUUCAAAUGCCUUUCAUUUUCUUUUUAAACGUUUGUCUGUGUCAUUAUACCGUAAACUUUUAUUUUAUUUUAAUGUGCUCUAACAAUAAUGUGUCCGUACUAUACCUGUGCUUAAAGGCUUAACACACACACACACACAUCUACAGAGGCUCAGGAGAGCCAAAGCUCAAUGUCCAGCCAAGUCCUCUUGCAGGUCACUGCAGGAUAAACACACACUUUAGCUAAAUAUUCACACAAACACACACACACAAGCAACCUGGACCUGUGGCCGAAAGCCUCUCCAGCCCAGUGCCCCUCAGCGGGGAACCCCAGCGCCUGGCUCUCCCUCCUCUGUGGGAAAACCCAUCAAAGGAGGAGGAGAGGCAGGGAGGGAGAGGGGGAGAGAGGGGGAGAGAGGGGAGGUGGUGUGCGGGGAUUCUGCAAUAAAAAAGCUGGACAAUCAAAUAUUACACAGUGUUUAACACUUGGUUUUCAUUCCGCCGCGCGGUGUUAAUUGCUCCUGCGCCGCCUGCCACCAGUGGUCCUUUAUGAAAUGACUUUUUGAAUUGAAGCAUAUGGACGAGGAGGCGCGGCGGGAGGCAGCAGGACGACUGGAGGAAGGGUCCCAUUAAAUAAGAGCCGGCUAAUUACUUUGUCCUCCCUUUUGUCCUGCGCUAUCCGGCCCUUGCCGUCGUUCAUAUAUCUUGCUGUAAUGAGUAACGCCAGAGCCCCGGCACCUGCGCUCGGUAAUUAAACAUAUAAAUUCUCCCCAAGCGGAAAUAUGUGAACUCACCAGGCUUGAUUUAUAAGGCCUCUAAAUGCACUGUUGAGCUUAUUUUCAUGGGCUGUUGUAGGAAGAGAGAGUCGUUCAUCAGCUCCAUGCUUUCACAACACUUGUCAAGUUCCUUUGUUGCCAUUGUGGCUGUUUGUGUUGUGGGUGAACGUGCUGACCAGGGGGGGGGAGUAAAGACAUCCACAGCUCAAAUCUCGUGUGGUAAGCAUGGAAACGUCUCAUAGUUGAUGCUUUUAAUUCUUAAUUUCCUUAGAUAACUGUUUACGUGGGUCAUGGCAUCGCAUUAUUCGUGGGAGUACGUGUAUCGCUGCGUUCCCUUUAGGCAACAAAACCACUUACACUGCAAAGCGAUAGAUUCCAUGCCGAGUCAAUAAACAGGCGAAAAUGCUUGUGGAGGAAGCAAAUUUUCAACGGGCAGCGCGUAGAACACGGACGACGCAAAACAAUGGACUUCGCCAAUCAGCGUUGAGAUGCUCCACUCGUCAUCACCGCCGUCCUGCUGCCACAGCGGGAAUACGCUUUAGGAAGCUGCCAGAGACACACUGACGGCCUGUAAGUUAGUUAGUGUCUAACCAGAGACGCAUGAGGUCAUCGGAGGAGUAGUCGGUCCUCGGGGGUCAUGUGGUGAUGUUUCUGUGAUGGCGGACAAGUUACUGCAGCUAGUGUUGUUUUUGCCUUCUUCAGCCCAAAAGACGAUCUAACAUCUGUUUGAGUGACAGGUCACGAUAGAGCUGUGUUGGCCUUCUAACUCAGACCCACUGAAGAUCUACAACUGGUUUUAUUUCAUAUAAGCAGACUCCGUGAAGCAGCACAGGGAACCGUACGGGCCUCGUCCUCCUCCACGGCUGAUGGAAUUCCCUAUUAGCCAGCUGGGAGUCUCAGUGUGAAUGUGCUGUGUUAAAACCUAAUCUACGUCAUAAUUAACUGGAUAUACUUUACAUUUAGAAUGGGAUCGGCCAUAUCGGUAAUAAAACCCCACGUCCACCUUUUUAACCCUGUGUUCCCCCCUCAUCCCCUCUCUCUUUAUUCUUUUCCUUCGAUGACAUUUCUUUAUCUGGUUUGCAUUAUUUUUUCUGUUCCUUGUUCAAUUUCUUUUCUUUUUUUUUUGGGGGGGGGGGGGGUGGGUGUUUGGACGAGGCCUGCAGCUUUCACAGCAUUUUCUGACACUUUUGUUAAUAAAUCAUUGGGAAAGUUAAUGAAAACGGCAUUCAGGCAUAUCCAAAAUGAUUGUGUUCUUUGUCAUGCUAAUAAAGUGAAAGAUGUUCGUCCAAUGGCUGAACGCCUGCACAUUACCAGCAACUUCUGAUGCCUGCGUGCCUGUUGCGCCUCGCUCUUUUCCCUCUUUCUCUGUUGUUGCCCUCUCUCCUUCUUAGAGACAAUUGUUUUCACAUAUUCCUCCUGUAGUUCAUCAAGCUUUUGGGUCGCUUUGACAUCAAUUUGACGUCCAUUUUUUUACCUCUCCUGUCUCCAUUUACCACCGUUGGGUCUUGGUUUUACAUACAAGGGAUUUGCAGGAAUGAAUCAAAAGUUGGCAGCUUCAGCCAGCGGUGCCAUACAGGAGGAGACCAUCUACAGUAUGUAUCAAACCACCAACAAUGUCUUUAAGGUGCUGAUUUAAAAUAAAGGAAAAGUCCAUGGACAAGAAUAUCUAUGUCCACAGUGAGAAAGAAAGUUUUUCACAAUUGACUUGACUCCAUUUAAAAUGCAGAGUUAACUUAGCAGUAGCGCACGUACCACGCAAUGAAAACCUUCGGAUCAAAUAAGAAAUUCAUGGAUCAAUUUGUCAGCGAACACAUGUAGUUUAUCAGAGUAUCUUCACAAAAUGAAUUCCAUUGGUCAAAGAAGUAAAAAAUAAAGUGCACUGGCAAACAGAUGGCCAUACUCUACUUGUUGUGGGUGUAUGUGAACAAGUGACAAGUGUAUGUGCAUGUGGAGUGAAGGGAGUGACCGGUGGGAUGUCAGAGUCAGUCAGUGGGGGACCGGCUCUGUUGAUGAGCCCGACUGCCGACGGGAAGAAACUGUUGGUGUGGCGGGAGGUCUUAGUCCUGAUGGACCUCAGCCUCCUGCCAGAUGGAAGGGGCACAAACAGGUUUUGUCCGGGGUGAGAGGGGUCGGCUACCAUCUUUUUAGCUGCUUCAGGGUCCUGGAAGCGAACAAGUCCUGCAGGGACGGCAGAUUGCAGCCGAUCACCCUCUCUGCAGAGCGGAUGACCCGCUGCAGCCUGCCCUUGUCCUUGGCUGUGGCUGCAGCGUACCAGACGGUGAUGGAGGAGCAGAGGAUGGACUCCAUGAUGGCCGUGUAGAAGUGGACCAUCAUCGUCUUUGGCAGGUUGAAUUUCUUCAGCUGCCUCAGGAAGAACAACCUCUGCUGAGCCUUCUUGGUGAUGGAGCUGAUGUUCAGCUCCCACUUGAG
ensembl:lncRNA